CGACUGCCUGAGUUUGCAAGGCACCUCUGGAAGCCAUCUGGUCCAACCCACCUGCCCAAGCAGGCUCAGCUAGACCUUGCUGUCUAGGGGUCUCUGCCUUUGGGUUUUGAAUAUCUCCAAGGGAUGGAGGUUGCACAACCUCUCUGGGCAAUUUGUGUCAGUGCUUGGUCACUCUGACAGUUUGCAGCUCAGAAGAGGAUUCCUUGCAAUGCAUGGCUGAAAAUAAUGGUGUAAGGAGAUCUGGGAGAAUUCUCCACUCCCACCUCUGCCACUCCUACCUCUAUUAAAAACUGGGAGCAGAACAUUUCUACUGCUUGUUUUUCCAUCAAGCAGCUGUAUGAGUUAAAUUACGUUUUGUGAUACCCUGGAGUUCUAGGACACAGUACAUAUCAAUCAUAAUAGUGAGAGGAUUCAUUCCCCCUGAACAGUCCAAACCUCUGAUUUUGGGAAGAAAGUAAUAAUGUAAGUAAUGAAUUUACUCUGCCAUUCUAAAGCUCUGUGUUUAUGUGUGCACAUGCUUGUUUGGGAAUUGUGCUACUACAGGGGCUGGAGAGUCAAACCCAAGUUUGGCACCAUGAUAAAGUGUUACCCUGAUCUAAUAUGAUCUCUGGAGUUUAUUUGAGCAGUUGUGGAUACUGAUGAUGCAUUGUCCAGACAGCAAUCCAAAGUAAUGGAUUUGUACCAUGUAUAACACAGAACAAGCUCCGUACCUGGUCCAGAGAAAUUAAGGUUUUAGUGGCCACCAAGAAAUGCAUGAUUGUUCUUUUGGUUUUGGGUUUAAUUUAACCCUUGAUAUCAAAAUAUGCUAUAACUUGCUAGUAAAACAGCUUGUAGUUCCAACUUCUUUCCUCAGCCUGACCAUGCUGAAAGUGUUUCACUGAAUUGUACUACUUUUCCUACUGCACAGGAGCACCUCUCCUAUGGGGACAGGCUGAGGGAGCUGGGGCUGUUAAGCCUGGAAAAGAGAAGGCUCCAGGGAGACUUCAGAGCACCUUCCAGGACACAAAGGGGGCCUGCAAGAGAGCUGGAGAGGGACUUUUCACAGGGGCAUGUAGUGACAGGAUAAGGGGAAAUGGCAUUAAGGUGAAAGAGAGGAGGUUUAGACUGAAAAUUGGAAAGAAAGCCUUCACUGUGUAGGUGGUGAGGCAUGGAAAAAAGUGGCCCAGAAAAGCUGUGGAUGCCCCAUCCCUGGGAGUGUUCACAUCCAGGUUGGAUGGGGCUCUGAGCCACCUGGCCUAGUGGAAGAUGUCUCUGCCCAUGCCCAUGGCAUCAAGUUGGAACUCAAUGAUCUUUAAGUCCCUUCCGAUCCAAACCAUAAACCAUAUGGUUUUAGGAUUCAUGGCUAAUUACUCACUGUAAGCUUUUAUCAGUAAGUAGUCUGGAAAAUAUUUAUGUUUUCACUGAUAUUCCACAUAUUUUAACUGUGUACUAAAUGCAUUAAUUUUAGGUGUUAUUAAAAUUAAUUUGAGGAUCAAAUUUUAAAAUGUGCUA